AAACCAAAUUAAGGUUGUUCCAGUGACAUUCAUUCUUUGGUAUUUCUUAGCUUUUUCAGUGCUUUACAGUGCAUCCAUAAUAAAAAUCUUUUACCAGUGUGUGUGGGCAAUCUAGUUUUGUAUCAGUGAAUGCAGACAUGUUUGUAUUUACAAUUGCACACAGACAUAGACGGGUUUGGACGCAGUGCUGCACAGACUGAGCCAGCAACCUCUUCAACAACCUCCAGUUCCCAAUACUAAGCCUUCUUUUUCUUUGUAAAUGAGAAAAAGCAGGACUCCAAAGCGUGAGAGAAUUAACUAAAAGAAGGAGAAAAGCUUGCACAGGAAGGAUGGGGAUUGCCUCCAGCCAGCUUCAGAGCUGGCCUGGUGCUGACAGCACUUUCCUAGGAGAGAGAUAGAAGAUAGGUUUUUGACAGCCUCAGGCUGAGUAAGGUAACUCCACUCUCCUGUUUCCUAGGAGAACACUCCAACCACUUGACUAUUUUACCUAAGGCCAGCUCAGCUACCAUCUUCCUCCUCCUCCAUCCCAUUUUCAAGUCCUUCCAAGUAGUCACUUGCCUCUUGACUCCAAGGAGAGCCCUACACUGCGAAUCUGAGGGGAACAGAAGCAGCAGGUUUUUAAAUAGCAUGCCUUGGCUCCCUGCAUGGGCAGGAUUUCCAGCAUCUUGCUUUUUGUGAACAUUUCUGAGAGUUCUAGGAAACAACGUGCUCAGCAGGAAGGCUGUAAUUUUCUCCAUGUGGUUCUUGCAAACGCCUGCUUCUCAGCGCGAGCCCUGUGGAGAGCUUACGUGCAUCCUGUAAGGCCCUGGGUUGUUCUCCACAGGCACUGCUGGGUGGGUAAGGAGGUCGCCAUCCCACGUCUCUUCUGCCUCCACCCAUUUGCCUGUCUGCCAUUGUGCUUUUUUCCACACCAAGCCGUGCAGUUGCCGUCGUGCAUCUUUCCUCAUCAGACCUGCAGCUCUGUCAAUCUCGGCACUGCUCAGCUAAAACAAGAGGCCUGUCCUCAAGGCAUCAGUGGUUCUCAUUAUUAGGGAAGCUCAAAAUACGCUUCUGAGCUCAAAGCCAAAAAUGACAUGGGGAAAGAAUCCUUUACAAAUUAAACUUCUCCUGGGACUGAAUUUGAUAUAGCAUGCAAUUAAAAAGACCAUCCCUAAAACAGUGAUUAGGACAAAUUACAGUGAUUUGAUAGACUUCAGUAGACUUAAUACUGGUAAAUACUGGUUCUGGUUUUACUCUACAAAUACAUUAGCCAUACGAGUACGUUGGAAAGCAGCUAAACUUUUUUUUGCAUGUGUGUGUGAAAAAGGAAACAUUAAAA